UACGGAGGGUGCAAGCGUUAUCCGGAUUCGCUGGGUUUAAAGGGUGCGUAGGUGGGUCUGUAAGUCAGUGGUGAAAUCUCCGAGCUUAACUUGGAAACUGCCAUUGAUACUAUAGAUCUUGAAUACCGUGGAGGUCAGCGGAAUAUGUCAUGUAGCGGUGAAAUGCUUAGAUAUGACAUAGAACACCAAUUGCGAAGGCAGCUGGCUACACGAAUAUUGACACUGAUGCACGAAAGCGUGGGGAUCAAACAGG
rnacentral:rRNA from 1 species